rnacentral:tRNA from 1 species
GGGUCGGUAGCAUAGUUGGUUAUUGCGCACGACUGUUAAGGUGAGGUCGAGGGUUCGAGUCCUCCCUGACCGG